CAUUAUUAGCUCAUCCCGGGCGGCCUGGUCAUUGGCCAGCCCCUGGCCACGUGGUCCCUCGUACCAAUCGAUCGAAUUUCUAGUCGCAAUUCUCUGUCUGUCCCUCAGCUCUGGGGAGAAAGUGGGGGCUGUGGCGUGGGGGCUGAGGUCCAGUUUGGGGCGGGGUGGGAGAGGAGUCCUUGAGUAUCCUGUCCCAGGGCCAAACCCCCAGGAGUCCAAUCUUCAAGACAUCCUUGAGCCGACUUCCGCCGAUGGAGGGGGAUCUUCAGGGUGCCUGCUGGGUUCUCAGGACUCCUCUUCAGAUCCUAGUUUUGACCCCUCCGGGUUAGAAAGGAUGGGCUCAGCACAUCUGGUGAGGCAGGCAGGUCGUCGCUGCAGCACAGAAUGAUCCCAUGGCCCUCAAGGCGUGGUGUCAGCUGAAAGUUCACUGAUCUGUGAGCCCUCUGCCUCCCUCCUCCGUUGAAAGAGCAGUGGCGUGCCCCACUUCUAAAAGCCCUGGGGCUCCUGCAAGCGGACACCGCUUUCCAGGACAGGUGCAAACAGGGAUGGUGCGAAGCCGAGGUGGAGACAAUGCGAUCACGCGUGGCACUGGCGUAUCCCACAGCAGAUGGUGUGAAUGUGUGUCACCGGAGGCAUAUGGGGUGAUGGCAAAACCAACAAUGGUGUCCAGGCAUGUGCCCGGUGGAAAGGGGGAACAAGUGGCCUUUCCCUGAGUGCCAAGGGAACUCAAAGAAGACCUGGGAACCUGGACGGGGCCUUUGCCUCAGUCCAAGCCACAUUUUGAAAUGCCUGCCAGAGGAGCACAGAGGUUUCUGCAACAUUCACCCUACCCCGAAGCCUCCACCGCCCAGGUAGCCCUGAUGCAACUUCCCUGCAACCGGCCCCAACCCCAUCCCCAGGCCCAGCCCAGUUCCUUUGGUUUCCUGACAUUCGUUACAGACAAAAGAUUCAGGGAAUCAGUCCACCUAUGAGCAGAGGAGAGGAUAUCCCUCAUUUGUGAGACAGGACGUGCAAAGGAAAUGGGACACCACCUGUCUUAGAAGACAAGGCCAGUCAUGAUCACCUAGCGCUCAUUCUAGGCAAUCCACCCACCGAUGAGGUGAAACAAGGAGACCAAAGAAGCUUCCCUGUCUGAGACACGCAUGGAAGCCAAGUGUUCCAGGCUUAUCAGACCUGCCCAAUCCAGCAGAAACAGGUUUGGAGAGAGAAAGAGUCAUGUCGCGGAUCUCCAGAAAGUGUCUCCCUGAUGGACUGGGAAGCGAUCUUCGUAGAAUUUAUUCAGCCAGAUCAAGAGGCAACUAGGCCCCUCAGAAACAGGGGAGACAGAGCAAGAGGGAGGACAGAGCACAGGCCAGAGCCCAGGCAGGUUACAGAACCUUGCCACCGCCACAGGCAUAAGGGGAGGGGUGCGAAACGCAUGACUUGUCCAGAGAGGCCAGCAUUCCAGGGACAGGGAUUGUUGCCGUCUCCCAUUCCCGGCUUCCUCUUCAGAAUUGUAUCGUGGUGUGGCUUCAUUGCUCAGAGAAGAGCCGUGCAGGGGUACAACCAUCUUCUUGGAGGUGUGUCUGCUCCUCUCCUGCCGGACAAUGAGCUGCUGUGGGGUUUUGUCCUGGGUUGGAGUGUGGUCCUCUUGAUCCUAGAAAAGAGGCCGCUCAGGAUGGGGAUGAGACUUCGAUUGCUCCGGGACCGACGCAUCUCCUCACGUGAUCGAGGACUUCACAAACCCAAAGUGGAACCGCCGUGAAAACGAUGGACAACCGGCCACGGGACCCAGACAGAGACACAGAAAGAGGCUCAACAAAGACUGGCCGACAUGCAAAAAAUCGCAUUUUGGCAAACAGAGCACAUUCGUCCAAAGACACACACACACACAGACAUGCACACACAAACACACACACACACAGACCAACAGAGAGAGGGAAAGAAACACACAGAGGGUGAGAGACAGAGAGAGAAGAGAGAAUGGGAGACACACACACACACACAGUCCUACAGUGGUGGCACAGAAACACACAUUCCCAGGCAACCCCUGAGGUUAACUAAUAGUGGAAAAUAUGUAUCUAAGAAUACACUUGGAACAGAAAUGUGAAAAACCGAAAGUAAGAGAUAUUAUGAAGGAGCAAAUAUAAAAUGACCCAGUGCUAAAGAGGCCACAAAGAAAAUUGUAGAAGAAAAUGACAAGAGGCAUUGUGCCUUAAUGAGUUUGUGCUUCUAUAUAAGAAAAUACACUAGGCUGGGUAAUUUCUGAAGAACAGAAAUGUAUUUCUCACAGUUCCAUAGGCUAGAAGUCCAAGAUCAAGGUGCCAGCAGGAUUGGUGUCUGGUGAGGGCCUGGUCUCUGCAUCCAAGAUGGUACCUUGUGCACUGUGUCUUCAGGAGGAGAGGCACUGUGUCCUCACAUGGCAGAAGGCGGAAGGGUAAAACAGGGGAAGCCCACUCCCUCCAGUCCUUGUGUAAGGAUCCUACACCCAUUUGUGAAGACUCUCCCUUCAUGACUGAAUCACUACCUAAAAGCCCUACUUCCUAAUCCUAUGACAUUUGUGAUUAAUUUUAGGGGGACACAUUCAGAGCAUAGCACCCUAUAUUCAAUUUCUUAAAAAUUAUUUUGUUGUUUUGCUUUUCUGUUUUUCAAAUGGCUUAAGUGCACAAAAUUGGAUUAAUCAUAAUCCUUGGCUCAUAGUACACCUUGGCUCCUAUUUCACCCUUGUCUGUGCCUGGGCCUCUGUGUAAAUGUAUUUGAACAAUAUGGUAAUCACUUGUCAACUUACAACACAACCAAAGAACUAGGGUUCUGACCCUAACAUCUGCUCCUCCUCUGUCCUUUUUCCUGAUUUUCACCCUUCAGCCCGAGAGUAACUAUUACCCUGAAUUUAUGUUUAGGAUUCUCUUCCUUUAAAAAAAACACAUUGUUUUAUUGCAUACAUAUGAUUACCCUAAAUGACAUGUUACUUAGUUUUUAAGGGUAUAAUUUAUUUACCCAUUCUCCUAUUAAUUUACCCAUUCUCCUAUUAAUGAACAUUUGGCUUAUUUCCAGAUUUUUCCUAUUAUGAAUGGCAUUACGUGAGGAUUUUUUUUUUUUUUUUUACUACAUCUUGUACAUAUGGGCAAGAGUUUCUCCAGGGCCUAUGGUAGAGAAAUUACUUUGCCAUAACAUAUGAGAAUGCUCAAAUUUAUAAGAUAAUCCAAAUUGCUUUCCAAAGUGGUUGUUCUAAUUUAAACGCUCACCUCCUGUAUUAGUUCGAGAUGAUCUUGUUGAUCCACAGUCUCUCCAUAUAUGGUGAUAUGGUUUGGCUGUGUCCACACCCAAAUCGCAGCUUGAAUUCUAUCUCCCAGAAUUCCCACAUGUUAUGGGAGGGACCCAGGGUGAGGUAAUUGAAUCACGGAGGCCAGUCUUUCCUGUGCUAUUCUCAUGAUAGUGAAUAAGUCUCAUGAGAUCUGAUGGGUUUAUCAGGAGUUUCUGCUUUGGCUUCCUCCUCAUUUUCUCUUGCUGCUGCCAUGUAAGAAGUGCCUUUUACCUCCUGCCAUGACUCUGAGGCCUCCCCCACCAUGUGGGACUGUAAAUCCAAUUACAGUUCUUUUUCUUUACACCUCUUUUUCUUCUCAGACUUGGGUAUGUCUUUAUCAGCAGUGUGAAAACAGACUAAUACAGUAAAUUGAUACCAGUGGAGUGGGGUGCUCCUGAAAAGAUACCCAAAAAUGUGCAAGCAACUUUGAAACUUGGUAACAGGCAGAGGUUGGAACAGUUUGGAGGGCUCAGAAGAACACUGGAAAAUGUGGGAAAAUUUGGAACCUCCUAGAGACUUGCUGAAUGACUUUGACAAAAAUGCUGAUAGUGUUUUGAACAAUAAGGUCCAGGCAGAGGUGGUCUCAGAUGGAGAUGAGGAACUUGUUGUGAACUGGAGCAAAGGUAACUCUCGGUAUGUUUUAGCAAAGAGAAUGGCAGCAUUUUGCCCCUGUCCUAGAGAUUUGUAGAACUUUGAACUUGAGAGUGAUAAUUUAGGGUAUCUGCUGGAAGAAAUUUCUAAGCAGUAAAGCAUUCAAGAGGUGACUUGGGUGAUGUUAAAGGCCUUUGGUUUUAUAAAGGAAGCAGAGCAUACAGUUUUGGAAAAUUUGCAGCCUGACAAUGUGAUAGAGAAGAAAAUCCCAUUUUCUGAGGAUAAAUUCAAGCUGUCUGCAGAAAUUUGCAUAAGUAACAAGAAGCUGAAUGUUAAUCCCAAAAACAAUGGGGAAAAUGUCUACAGGACAUGUCAUAGGUCAUCACAGCAGCCCCUCCCAUCACAAGCCUGGGACCUAGGAGGAUAAAAUGGAUUUCUGUGCUGGGCCAGGUUGACUGUGCUGUGUGUAGCCUAGGGCCUUGUUUCUCUGCGUUUCAGCCCCUCCAACCAUGGCUGAAAGAGGAAAACAUAGAACUCAGGCCAUGGCCUUGAGAGUGCAAGCACCAAGCCUUGGCAGCUUCCAUGUUGUGUUCAGCCUGCACAUGCAUAGAAGUCAAGAACUGAAGUUUGGAAACCUCCACCUAGAUUUCAGAGGAUGUUUGAAAACACCUGGAUGUCCAAGCAGAAGUUUGCUGCAGGGGUGGUGCUCUGAUGGAGAACCUCUGCUAGGGCUGUGCAGAAGAGAAAUGUGGGGUCAGAGCCCCUAUACAGAGUCCUUACUGGGGCACUUCCUAGUGGAGCUGUGAGGAGAGGGCCACUCUCCUCCAGACCCCAGAAUGGUAGAUUCACUGACAGCUUGCACCAUGAGCCUGGAAAAGCUGUGGACACUCAACGUCAGCCCAUGAAAACAGCCACGAGGUGGGCUAUACCCUGCAAAGCCACAGAGGCAGAACUGCCCAAGGCUGUGGAAGCCCACCUCUUGGAUCAGCAUGACCUUGAUGUGAAACAUGGAGUCAAAGGAGAUCAUUUCGGAACUUUAAAAUUUGACUACCUUGCUGGAUUUUGGACUUGCAUGGGGCCUGUAACCCCUUUGUUUUGGCAAAUUUCUCCCAUUUGGAACGGCUGUAUUUACUCAAUGACCUGUACCCCCAUUGUAUCUAGGAAGUAACUAGCUUGAUUUGGAUUUUACAGGGUCAUAGGCAGAAGAGACUUGCCUUGUCUCAGAUGAGACUUUGGACAGUGGACAUUUGGGUUAAUACUGAAAUUAGUUAAGACUUUGGGGGACUGUUGGGAAGGCAUGAUCGGUUUUGAAGUGUGAGGACAUGAGAUUUGGAGGGGCCAGGAGCAGAAUAAUAUGGUUUGACUAUGUCCCUACCCACAUCUCAACUUCAAUUGUAUUGCUCAGGAUUCCCAUGUGUUCGGGGAGGGAACCGGGGGAGGUAGUUGAAUCUUUAGAGCCGGUCUUUCCCAUGCUAUUCUCGUGAUAGUGAAUAAAUCUCACAAGAUCUGAUGGGUUUAUCAGUGGUUUUGUCUUUUGCUUCUUUUGCCUCCUUCUCAUAUUCUCUUGCCACUGCCAUGUAAGAAGUGCUGUUCAUCCACCACCAUAACUCUGAGGCCUCCUCAGCCAUGUGGAACCCUUAAUGCAAUUAAGCCUCUUUUUCUUCCCUGUCUCGGUUAUGUCUUUAUCAGCAGUGUGAAUAUGGACUAAUACAUUUUGUAUUGUCAAACUUCUUAAUAUUUGUGGAGAGAAUAGAUGUGUAGUAUCUUGUGCAUUUCCCUGAUUACUAAUGAGGUUGAGAAAAUUUUUAUGUUUUGCAGGCUUUCUCUUUUGUGAAAUCCCUAUUAAUGCAUUUUCCCAAUUUUCUGUUGGGUUGCUAUUUUUAAAAUUAGAAAUAACUGUCAUCAAUCCAAAAGCUUACACAUGGCAGAUCCCUUCACACCAGUUCACAGUACAAAGUAACUCCUUGCUUGUAGAAAACAUUAUUAUUAUCAUUAUUAUUUUUGAGAUGGAAUUUGACUUUUGUAGCCCAGGCUGGAGUGUGAUGGUGUGAUCUCGGCUCACUGCAACCUCUGCCUCCCAGGUUCAAAGGAUUCUCCUGCCUCAGCCUCCCAAGCAGCUGGGAUUACCAGUGCACACCACGAUGGCCUGCUAAUUUUUUGUAUUUUUGUAGAGACAGGGAUUCACCAUGUUGGCCAGGCUGGUCUCGAACUCCUGACCUUAGGUGAUCCACUUGCAUCGACCUUCCAAAGUGUUGGAAUUACAGGCAGGAGCCACCACACCCAGACUAGAAAACAUUAUUCAAUAGCAAACAGUAGCAGUAUGCUUGGGGGUUUUAGGAUUGAUUAUUUUCAAAUCUCUAGAAAAGCUCAAUGCAUUACCUUAGGCUAUAAUCUCAGGGCAGAGUCUCAUCUGUUAAUGUGGGGCUGGUCUAAGGGUCCUUCCACCUCUCAGAUUUAUGGUUUCCGAUGUUGAACUGCUCCCUGUCACCCACCCAUCCUCGGUUUUGUUUGUUUGUUUUUACAGAGACGAGGUCUCACUAUAUUGACCAGGCUGGUCUUGAACUCCUGGCCUUAAGCGAUCCUCCUGCCUUGGCCUCCCAAAGUGCUGGAGUUACAGAUGUGAGCCUCUGUGCUCAGUCCAUCCUUGGCUGUUCAAGUGUAGAGAAAUUGCCACUCCCUCUCCAGCCCUCAGCAACCACCACCUCGAUCAGUCACUAGCUAUCAACAUUGAGACAAGACCAUCCAGCAGCAAAAUGAUGAUGACUUACUGAAGGCCCAGAUGAUGGUUAGCAGUUUUUGGCAAUCACGUAUUUUCAAAAACCAAACCUGCAAUAUCUCCAAGGUGUGCCUGUAUCCCUAGAAGCAGAGCUGGAGUAAGGACUUCGGUGUGGGUGGUUUAUUUGGAAAGUGAUUCCAAGAAGCAAGAGUCAGAAGUGGGAAGAGUGAGCCAGGCAAGAAAGAAAAGCCAAAAUAAUGGCAUGCUAUUGAGGCUCCUGCCAUGCAGUUUUUUCUGCAGGACCUUCCGAGAGGCUCCGGAAAGUUAUCCAGAAAUGCCCACCUGAAACAUGAGCCUGGAGCAUUUGUCCACCUGUCCCACACUGGUUGAGGUCUUCCCCUGAGGCUGUUAACCUGCAAGUGUUUCUGGGCUGUAUUUGUGCUCAGGCAAAAUCGUACAAUAAUGGAGAUUCCCUAGGGCAGAAAGUGUAUCUUGAGUUUGCUGGCAGCACAAGAGAAGCCUGUGCUUCCAUGGAACUUCUCACGGUGUCUGAGACUGAAUGAAAGGUGAGCUGAGAAAACAUGACGCAGGCGCCAUUGCACUAAGCAAUCAUAGCCAUCGAUCUGGGCAAGAGGACCCCUGCCCUGAAUCCUGCACUUGAGAAGGUGCCUCUCUGGCCCUCCACUGACUGUACCCUGGCCCACUCAGAGCUUCACCCUCUCUUCUAGGGCACAUGCUGGGCACUCAGGGACCUGGCGAAAUGUGCCUGAGCCUGCAUGGCCUCUUCCCUGGGUCCAUUUCAAAGUGCAAACUGUGCUUGUCCAAAUGGUGCCCAAGGAUCUGCUUUCUGAAGGGGUGAGAAUUGUGGAUGGAGCUUGCAUGGGGCCUAGGGAGUUCCCCACACAAGGGUUUGCAAAGCUUCUCAAGUGAGGACAGGGCUACCUACGAUGAAAGAAAAAAGUUUAGCCUGGGGCUGAUGAUCAGCUCUCCCUUUACUACCACAUUCCUGUGCAGAGCACCAAGAAAUCAGAGAAUUCUACACUCAACUUUGACCUUGUGGGUUAUUAUGGCAGUAUAUUUAUCGAAAUAGGAGAAUAGAACAUAUUUAACUAUUUGUUAGCUUCAUUUAUAACUCAUAAUUAUUUAGACAUAAUGCAAAUGUGGGCUGGAAUUUACGUUCUGAUUUUUUGUGGCCUUGAGCUAAGGAAAAGGGACCCAAGGAAAUGGGCUUUAUAUGCUUGGAUGGCUUUGUGGAAUCCCCAACUUCAUUAGCUUCUGUGGUGACUCAAGAUUGUUACUAAAAUCCACUUUGUAUUAUCUUUAAAAACCAAGGAAUAUUAUGUAGAUCAGUAGUUAGAAGGUACUUGACUCAAAAUAUGUAUGAACCAAAGGAUAUAAAUGACUAAAAGCAGAAGGAUUAUUACCUGAAGUGGUGGAAGGUUGAUCUCAGGAUAUGACCUGUGAGAUCCUUCCUGCUGGCUCAGUGCUGGCUGAACGGGGGGUAGGAGAGCACCAGGAACAACACACAUCUGGGACAGGAGGGAAUCCGGGGAGGAAGGAAAGAGAAAUAGGCCUUUUUAUUUUUAUUGAUACAUGACAAUUAUACAUAUUUGUAGGGUACAUGUGAUAUUUUGAUACAUGCAUACAAUGUGUAGUGAUCAAAUCAGGAUAAUUUGCAUAUCCAUCACCUCAAACAUUUAUCAUUUAUUUGUGUUGAGAACAUUCCACAUCUUUCCUCUACUCAUUUUGAAAUAUAUAAGUUAUUGUUAAUGAUCAUCACCCUACUGUGCUAUUGAACACUAGAAAUUUUUCUGUUCCUUCCAUCUAACUGUAUUUUUGUGUCCAUUAACCAACUUCUGGGAAGGGCAAAAGAGUGGGUGGAUGAAAAGGGCCCUUUUUAAGGAAAAGUAAAUCUUACAAGAAGGGAAGACAUCUUAGGAGGAAAAAUAAAAAGGUGGACCAUGGGCUUAGAGUAGGGACUGCAGAAAUUGAAUGGCAAAGAAAAAACCAACUUAGCAAUGUGAAAAUACAUCUCAAUGUCAUUCUUUUCGCAGGUCCAGUGUCUGAUUCUUUUGGGAAGCUGGAUAUGAAGUCAGAAUCUUUCUUUGAGUCAUACAUUUUCAUGAUUAUGAUUAUUAUUGAAUGAUAGCUGACAAUUAUUGAGAGCAAUUAUUGAGGACAAUUAUUGAGCUUUCACAAGCCCUUUUCAAAGGUCUUUACAUAUAUUUUCUCCACUUCUAACUGUUAGAUAUUCUUAUUAUUCCCAUUUUGUAGAUGAGGGAUACACAGGCAUAAAGCCUAUGUGGAGGCAGAGAGCAGCUACGUAACCUGACCAUGGCCCAACAGCAAACAAAUGAUGGGGCCACAUGCAAAUCCAGGCAGAAUCCUUCUAUUAUAUGAAGCUCAAUGUUUUCUUGUUUGCAGCUUGUUAUGAAUACAUCUAUUUGCAAAUGGGUUUUGAAGCUACUUUAAAACAUUUUGUGGCUGUGCGUGGUGGCUGGCACCUGUAAUCCCAGCAUUAUGGGAGACCAAGGUGGGCAGAUUGCCUGAGCUCAGGAGUUUGAGACCAACCUGGCCAACAUGGUGAAACCCUGUGCCUACUAAAAAUACAAAAAAAUUAGCCAGGUGUGUUGGUGUGCACCUGUAAUCCCAGCUACUCUGGAGGGUGAGGCAGGAGAAUCACUUGAACCCAGGAGAGGAAGGUUGCAGUAAGCUGAGAUCAUGCCACUGAACUCCAGCCUGGGCAACAGAGUGAGAUUCUGUCUCCAAAUAAAAAAUAAAUAAGAUUGAAUUUUGAGCUCCUGACCAUGUCCCUAGAUUGUACUCAUAUGUAUUUUGAUGUCUAAUAAGAUUUAUUCUCAGUGCAUUUUUUAAGUGAAAGUAUUUAUUGAGCAUCUACUGUAUAUCAUGUGCUGAAAUAGGCACCAGUGGUGCAGGGAACAUAUGGCACAGUGUCUGACCUCAGGUAACUUUCACUCUCAUACAUAUGUAUUAGGACACCAACACAUGUGUGAAUAUAAGAUAGUAUGAUAGAUAUUGCAACAAGUAAUUAUUUACUGUAAACCUAUUUUAUAGGAUUUUAAACUUAAACUACUUUCACCCUAUUUCCAAAAAAAAGUAUUGCAUAACUUUAAAUAGAUUCUCAGUUUGAAAUCAUCAUACAAACUGCAGUAGCAUCUGCUGGUGAAAUACUGCUUUGUAUCUAUUAGAAUAGUCCAAACAAUUGUGAGACAACUGCAUUAUUAGAGCUGUAAAAGUUAUUGUCUAGAAAUCUCAGAGAAGAAGAGGAAGUUCUAUGGUAGAUGAAUAAGAUGACAUCUAAACUGUUCUCUUCAGCUACUGAAGUUCUGUGGAUAUCUCACAGCACAAAGUUCAAGUGUAUGCCCACAGCUCCUCAUGCCACAAGAUGUGACACCUUUCCAAUCUCUUUUUGCAAAAGUUUCCAAUUAUGUCUCUUUUAAGAGUACUUUUUAUACCCACAUAUUCCAGAUUUUGUGGUGCACGCAAAGACAAGAUGGGAAGGGGCUUCCAUUUAUUGAUGCCAGCUGCUCCAUGGACCAGGCCCUGCCCAUGCAUCCAUGUUGGUUCUUUUAUCCCCACAUCAGCCAUAGCCCAUAAGCAUUAACUGCCAUUGCACAGAUGAGGAAAUUGAAAGUCUAAGAGAAUAUGCAAUCUACCCAGAGUCAUGCAGCUUGUGUAUGUAAGGGUUGGAAUGAAAAUCCAAUCUGUGUGAGUCCCAAGUCCCCUUCCACCAUAUGGUUUCCAUUUCAUUUUGCAAUCAGAUUGGCUGGGAUAUGUCUGCCCUAAAAGACAGUAAGUAGGAAUAUUUGUCUCUAUACCUUAACCUGACAUCCAUGGGCUUGCUUUUUGUAUUUGGAGGUGUCAUAACAUUAUAAUAAUAAUUUGAUUUUAUUUGUACAGUGGAUAUUAUACUACUCAGUCUAGAGAUUUAUGACAUCCCAGUCUAAACUGGAUGAUAGCAAUGAAGCUUCUUCAAGGAGACAAGUAUGAGUAAUAAGGUAGUAAUAAGCUGAAUUUCUAUGGAGUUGCUACUUCUGAAUUAAAACUAGUUGAGAUUAAGUAGAUAUUCAAAAAUAUUGCUAUAAUCUUCACUUGAAUAAUACAAACAUUUAUUAUUUUUACAUAUUUAUUUAUUUAUGGAACAUAGAUGUAAUUUUAAAACAAUAUUUUCAAAUUAUAUUAAAAUAUAUUAAAAACAUAAUACAUUAUCACCCAAUAGAGUUUUUCAAAGUAACUCAGUGUUAGUUUAAAAUGUGAAAUUCAAUCAACAUAAUUCACCAUAGAAUACAGUGUGUAUGUCAGUAUAAUAUAUAUAUCAAAAUUGGAAAGCAGUAAAUUUAUCUUUGUUUUGUAAUAAGAUGAAAUUAAAAUUUUAA